UCAGCAACUUUUCCUCUGGACAGGUUUUGAGAAAUCUCCCCCAUAAUGUAGGUGAUUUUAUCUAAACAACAGCACAUUUGUCCUCCUGUUCAUAUAUGUAUGUGGUACACAUCUGAUUUUACCAACUUUGCAUGGAAGUUGGGGUGGAGGAAUGGAGGGGAAACAGAAUCAUAUAGGGAUACAGUUUAGGCAAUGAACACCUUACGCAGCUCUGUACAGGUUAGAACAACGCCAUCUGCAGGCCGCAGACUUGAAUUUGAGUUGACUACUUGGACAAGCUGAGGUCCUGCUGCUGCCCAGAACUGAAGCCAUGGAUGGAGUGCUGCUGAGUGAAAUGCUUGGAGAAUAGUCACCAAAUUGCUCGCGCUAA